rnacentral:rRNA from 1 species
UACGUAGGGCGCAAGCGUUUAUCCGGAAUUAUUGGGCGUAAAGAGCUCGUAGGCGGUCUGUCACGUCGGGAGUGAAAACACGGGGCUUAACCCCGUGCCUGCUUCCGAUACGGGCAGACUAGAGGUAUGCAGGGGAGAACGGAAUUCCUGGUGUAGCGGUGAAAUGCGCAGAUAUCAGGAGGAACACCGGUGGCGAAGGCGGUUCUCUGGGCAUUACCUGACGCUGAGGAGCGAAAGUGUGGGGAGCGAACAGG